UACGGAGGAUGCGAGCGUUAUCCGGAUUUAUUGGGUUUAAAGGGUGCGUAGGCGGGCUGUUAAGUCAGCGGUCAAAUGUCGGGGCUCAACCCCGGCCUGCCGUUGAAACUGACGGUCUUGAGUGGGCGAGAAGUAUGCGGAAUGCGCGGUGUAGCGGUGAAAUGCGUAGAGAUAUGGAGGAACACCAGUGGCGAAGGCGGCUCUCUGGUCUGCAACUGACGCUGAGGCUCGAAAGCAUGGGUAGCGAACAGG
rnacentral:rRNA from 1 species